AUAUUUAAAGUUUUUGUUGCUUUUUUUUUUUUUUUUUUUUUUUUAUAUUUUACAUCCCUUUCCAAUCAGGGAGAUUAAUAAGGGGUGGGGUCAGUUCCAACCACAGUCUGCACACACCUGUAAAGGGGGCCGGAUGGGGAUAGCCAGGACAGGUCCAAUACCCCAAAAAUUUUUUCAGGAAAUACCAAACCUGGGAUGCAAACCCAGGUCAUCCUGCAUGACAUGUCGAUAUCAUUACCAUGUGGCCACCUGGAAGCAAUACUUACCUAGCUACUGCAGCCAUGUGUGAACUAAGGAAAAUCCUCAAGUGCGACUUUUUUAUGGCUCUCAACAUCGGAUCUGUGUUAAUGUUUGGAUCACAAUUCUUGACAAUUUUUUUUAUCAGCCCAUAUGUAUUUCCUCCCUGCAUAAACUCUUGGAUAUGUAUCUCUUGCCUAAUUUCAAUUAUCUACACACAUACACAGCCACAUGGUCAAUAAAUAAAAAUUGCACAUAUGCAAUUAUUUUUUCAAAUUUCAAAUGUGAC
rnacentral:lncRNA from 1 species